UCAAAAGCCAAAAUGGAAUUCUUAGAAAUUAAAAACAACAGAAAUGAGAAACUCAACAGUAAAUCUCUCAGAAAGUCAAGCAAAAAGACAAAGAGAUAGAAAAAUUGGAGGGAAAAUAGCAAGCCAAAUUAGAAGACUAGUCCAAGAAUUCGAAUAUCUAAGUAAUAGGAGUUCCAGAGAGAGGGAGAGAAAAAAACAAAAACAAAAACAGAAAACGGAAAACAGAAAAGAGGUAAUCACAAAUGAAAUUACCGUACUCGCUCCUAAUCCGUGAAGGUACGUUCCAAGACCCCAGUGGAUGUCUGAAACCACAGAUCAUGGACGACUGAGCUGGAAGUGGUAUAGAAGCAGAUCCUGGAGAAAUUCUAACGGUCCUCCGAGAAGCAGACACCAAAACAGAAUUUGAUGUGCAAGAAAUUUACUGGGGAAAAUGCCUAUGAAAGAUAAAGGAGGAAGAAGCAGGAGUGGAUGGGGAGAGCCUUCACACAAACGAGGUGAGGCAGGUCUGACUCAUGUGAAAGGAGAGCAGGAAGGAAGAAUAUCAGCCUGCAGGGCAGUUUGGAGAAAGUCUCCUCCAGGUCCAGAAAGAACCUCCGAAGCCUGCAUGGCCUGUCGGAGGAGUCCCACGUAAGUCAGGGACUGGCCGACUCCAGCGCCCCCCUGGGAUGCUUGCUGGCUGAGAGUAGGCUGGGAGAAAUGUGAAUGUCAUGGUGGAUCCAAAAGGCAGCAGCUGGAGGCUGUCGGUCAAUUGCAUUUCCCACAGCAGGUUCUUUUGAAGGAGAUCUGAGUGGAGCACUUCCAUGGCCAGCACAGCUUUCCAGGAGCUCUCAAUUUAGGCAGGUAAACAUAUACAUCACAGCUGUAUUCCAAGGCUGUGGACUAGCCCUUUGGGGUUCUGUGUCCGUUCUGUGUUCACUCAGCCAUAGCCUGGGUUGUGGACAGGGACCAUGGUAUGGAACAUGGCUGCUCAGAUAAGGAGGGCUGUGAUGUGUGUGUAGAUACACCUCACAGGCCCAGGAAAGCAGGGAAAUGGUUGAUAUAAUACAAUUAUGUACAAGACACAGUGGCAGGAAGGAGGGAAUUAACUAACUGCUUAUGAAGGAGAGG
rnacentral:lncRNA from 1 species